UACGGGGGGGGCAAGCGUUGUUCGGAAUUACUGGGCGUAAAGGGCUCGUAGGCGGCCAACUAAGUCAGACGUGAAAUCCCCAGGCUCAACCUGGGAACUGCGUCUGAUACUGGAUGGCUUGAAUCCGGGAGAGGGAUGCAGAAUUCCAGGUGUAGCGGUGAAAUGCGUAGAUAUCAGGAGGAACACCUAUUGCGAAGGCAGCUCGCUGGGACGUAACUGACGCUGAGGCGCGAAGACGUGGGGAGCAAACAGG
rnacentral:rRNA from 1 species